GUUAAGCGACUAAGCGUACACGGUGGAUGCCCUGGCAGUCAGAGGCGAUGAAGGACGUGCUAAUCUGCGAUAAGCGUCGGUAAGGUGAUAUGAACCGUUAUAACCGGCGAUUUCCGAAUGGGGAAACCCAGUGUGUUUCGACACACUAUCAUUAACUGAAUCCAUAGGUUAAUGAGGCGAACCGGGGGAACUGAAACAUCUAAGUACCCCGAGGAAAAGAAAUCAACCGAGAUUCCCCCAGUAGCGGCGAGCGAACGGGGAGCAGCCCAGAGCCUGAAUCAGUGUGUGUGUUAGUGGAAGCGUCUGGAAAGGCGCGCGAUACAGGGUGACAGCCCCGUACACAAAAAUGCACAUGCUGUGAGCUCGAUGAGUAGGGCGGGACACGUGGUAUCCUGUCUGAAUAUGGGGGGACCAUCCUCCAAGGCUAAAUACUCCUGACUGACCGAUAGUGAACCAGUACCGUGAGGGAAAGGCGAAAAGAACCCCGGCGAGGGGAGUGAAAAAGAA
rnacentral:rRNA from 1 species